rnacentral:rRNA from 1 species
GAUGAACGCUGGCGGCGUGCUUAAUACAUGCAAGUCGAGCGAACGGACGAGAAGCUUGCUUCUUUGAUGUUAGCGGCGGACGGGUGAGUAACACGUGGAUAACCUCCCUAUCAGACUGGGAUAACUUCGGGAAACCGGCGCUAAUACCGGAUAAUAUUUUGAACCGCAUGGUUCAAAAGUGAAAGACGGUCUUGCUGUCACUUAUCGAUGGAUCCGCGCUGCAUUAGCUAGUUGGUAAGGUAACGGCUUAUCAAGGCAACGAUGCAUAGCCGACCUGUGAGGCGGGUCGGCCACACUGGAAGGGGGACGCGGACCAGAGUCCUACGGGACGCAGCAGUAGGGAAUCUUCCGCAAUAGUCGGAAGCCUUGCGGAGCAGCGCCGCGUGUGUGAUGAAGGUCUUCGGAUCGUAAAACUCUGUUAUUAGGGAAAAACAUAUGUGUAAGUAACUGUGCACAUCUUGACGGUACCUAGUCAGAAAGCCACGGCUAACUACGUG